rnacentral:tRNA from 1 species
GGAGACGUACCGAAGUGGUCGUACCGGGACGCACUCGAAAUGCGUUUGCUGGGUAACCUGCACGAGAGUUCGAAUCUCUCCGUCUCCGCCA